UACGGAGGGAGCUAGCGUUGUUCGGAAUUACUGGGCGUAAAGCGUACGUAGGCGGUUAUUCAAGUCAGAGGUGAAAGCCCGGGGCUCAACCCCGGAACUGCCUUUGAAACUAGAUAGCUAGAAUCUUGGAGAGGUCAGUGGAAUUCCGAGUGUAGAGGUGAAAUUCGUAGAUAUUCGGAAGAACACCAGUGGCGAAGGCGACACACUGGCCCGUUACUGACGCUAAGGCGCGAAAGCGUGGGGAGCAAACAGG
rnacentral:rRNA from 1 species